rnacentral:lncRNA from 1 species
UGGAGAUGAGGAGGUCAAACUGAGGGGCCUUUGUGUUGGAGGAAUUGCCCAUAUAAUGUACUGAAGUCACUGAGGAUGAUGGUGGACCUUCAGGAGAGAGGAGGAUCAUGGGCUAAAGAUUAAAGUCUUCACGACUGCCUGGUGGAAAUACAGUAUUAUAUAAUGACAUGCUACUAUGCAUCUCUACCUAACUCCUCGUCUGGUGAUGCCAUAUUGAAAUCAGCCAUACUGAGAGUAUUUACACACUGCUGAAGUCAGUAAAUGCUACAAAUCAAGGCUUGAAUGUAACCUACAUGAGAAAGAGUUGCCUUGCUCACUGCCGUAUCCCAGUAUCCCAAGAACCUUGGAGAUGCUCUAUGAAUACUGAAUGAAUCUGAGAGGAAACUAGCCCGAAGGGGGAAGGCUCUGGAAGCAAGCCCUCAUGGACCAACGGAGAAAAAGGAAACUGAAUCUUGGGGAGAUUAAGCAACUCUUUCAAGGUCAACCGGGGAGCGGCAGAACCAGAGUUCGAAGGAAACCUUUCUGAAUCUGACGUCUGCCCCUUCUAAAUUAGGACUCUCAUCUAUCAGCCUGUGAGAAAAAAUACAGAAAGCAUCAUUCAGGCAACACAUGAACUCAAGACACUGAGACUUCGCUAACCUUCCUCGCACACAAGGUCCUAAAGGAACUACCACACGCAUGUCCACAUUUGAUGCACAUAACAGACUCUCACCGCAUUGAAAUAAACCCCAGUAUGAUCAUAA